GAUUGUGUGAAGAGCUGCCUAAGUCCAACACAGUGCUCAUCGACUCAUUGCAGGGAAACCAAGGCUCAGAUAGUUUAGACAGAAAGUGGGCAGAGCUGGAUUUGAAGCCCUGCAGCCUCCUACUUGUGCCCUCCAGGAGGUGCAGACAUUGCUGAAGGUUGGGCUGUGGGUCUGAGCACAUGAGCCUGCUGUUUUCAACCCCAGAGGGGAGCUCUGGACGCCUGUCCUGUCCAGCCACCCCCUAGGAUUCUCUGUCCCUUCUCCAUGCUCUGCUCCUCGGUCCUGCAGAACCAUGAGCCCACCUUGGGGACAGAGAGGGUGCACCUGCUCACUGCUUGUUUCCUCUACUGGAGUCAAUCUUCACGACAGUCCCCCUACUGACAAGGGUGCCCAGUGCACAGUGGGUACAGUGGGCACAUGGAAGUUUGCUGACCCUGGUUAUAGAUGCCCCGGAAACACUGCUGAGUUCUGUCAACUUAGAGCAGAUCUAGGGGAUGUCUCACUGCUGACUCUAGUCCAAGCUUUUUGUCCAGGGACAUCAUGGGGAACCCGAUGUUGUAAGCUCAACUCAAUGUGGAGGAAACCGA